ACAAGCCAGCUUUUGGGGUAGACCUCUCUACAAUAAGAAUGGAGAAGCAUCUGAGGACCUCAUUCGUUGCUUUGUGGCUUUAUUUUUGCUGGGCGAGUGGGAAAAACCAAGUGGAACAGAGUCCUCAGUCCCUGAAAGUCCUGGAGGGAGAGAACUGCACUCUCCAAUGCAAUUACACCGUGAGCCCCUUUGGCAACUUAAGAUGGUACAAAUGGGACACAGGGAAAGAUCCUGUUGUCCUGACAGUCAUGACUUACAGUGACAGCAAACGGUCGAAUGGAAGGUACACAGCAACUCUGGAUGCUGCUGCCAAGCGAAGCUCUCUGCUCAUCACAGCCGCCCAGCUCAGCGACUCAGCUCCCUACGUCUGUGUGGUGGGCGCACUGUGCUCCCCGGGCACCAGCAGCCAGUACCCAAACCUGCACCUGGAGGUUAUCAAAGAGGUUUGGGUGGUGCCUGGCAGGUUUUAUAUGGCGAUUGGAAGGCAUGGGCAUUCUUUCCAACUUAGGCUGGGCAGAAUGGCUCCUGCAAAGAAGGAUGGUGACAACAAGAAGGGCUGUUCUGCCAUCAACGAGGUGUUGACCCAGGACUACACAAUCAGCAUUCACAAGCGAAUCCAUAACAUGGGCUUCCAGAAAUGCGCCCCUUGGACACUCAGAGAAAUCUGA